GACGAACGCUGGCGGCGUGCUUAACACAUGCAAGUCGAACGCUGAAGCUCAGCUUGCUGGGUGGAUGAGUGGCGAACGGGUGAGUAACACGUGAGUAACCUGCCCUCUUCUUUGGGAUAACGCCCGGAAACGGGUGCUAAUACUGGAUAUUCACUGAUUCUCGCAUGGGGGUUGGUGGAAAGGUUUCUUUUUGUGGGGGAUGGGUUCGCGGCCUAUCAGCUUGUUGGUGGGCUGAUGGCCUACCAAGGUUUUGACGGGUCGCUGAGCUGAGAGGGUGACCGGGGACAUGGGGACUGAGAUACGGCCCAGACUCAGACGGGAGGCAGCAGUGGGGAAUAUUGCACGAUGGGCUAACGCCUGAUGCAGCGACGCCGCGUGAGGGAUGGAGGCCUUCGGGUUGUAAACCUCUUUCGCUCAUGGUCAAGCCGCAGCUUUGGGUUGUGGUGAGGGUAGUGGGUAAAGAAGCGCCGGCUAACUACGUG
rnacentral:rRNA from 1 species